GCUUCGGCAGUGCAAUGGGGUAGCACAACAGACUAGACAUCUGUAGAUACGAGUUCGAGUUUUGGUCCUAAGUU
rfam:Dictyocaulus viviparus strain HannoverDv2000 D_viviparus-1.0_Cont15.40, whole genome shotgun sequence.